GACGUAGGGCGCGAGCGUUGUCCGGAAUUAUUGGGCGUAAAGAGCUCGUAGGCGGUUUGUCGCGUCUGCUGUGAAAACUCGGGGCUUAACCCCGGGCCUGCAGUGGGUACGGGCAGACUAGAGUGCGGUAGGGGAGACUGGAAUUCCUGGUGUAGCGGUGAAAUGCGCAGAUAUCAGGAGGAACACCGGUGGCGAAGGCGGGUCUCUGGGCAGUAACUGACGCUGAGGAGCGAAAGCGUGGGGAGCGAACAGG
rnacentral:rRNA from 1 species